GCUUUCAACAUCCCCGUUCCGGCGCGGCAACGCGCGUGGAACUGAAGGC
rnacentral:sRNA from 12 species